CACAUACACAUGGUUAGCAGAUGUUAAUGCGAGUGUAGUGAAAUGCUUGUGCUUCUAGUUCCGACCAUACAGUAAUACUUAACAAGUAAUCAUAACAAUUUCACAACUACCUUAUACACACAAGUGUAAAGGAAUGAAUAAGAAUAUAUAGAUGAGCGAUGGCCGAACGGCAUAGGCAAGAUGCAGUAGAUGGUAUAGAGUACAAUAUAUACAUAUGAGAUGAGUAAUGUAGGGUAUGUAAACAUUAUAUAAAGUGGUAUUGUUUAAAGUGACAAUUGAAACAUUUAUUACAUCCAAUUUUUCCAUUAUUAAAAUGGCUGAAGUUGAGUCAGUAUGUUGGCAGCAGCCACUCAAUGCUAGUGAUGGCUGUUUAACAGUCUACUGGCCUUGAGACUGAAAAACAGCUUCUGUCUCUCGGUCCCAGCUUUGAUGCACCUGUACUGACCUCGCCUUCUGGAUGAUAGCGGGGUGAACAGGCAAUGGCUCGGGUGGUUGUUGUCCUUGAUGAUCUACACAGGUAGACUUACAAUAACAUUCUACCUGUAAUUCAUUACUAUUACUAGUAAGUGUUAUUACACAGGUAGAAUGUUACUAUAGUAUUUGGUGUUUUUGCACAGCUAGAAUAUUACUACAGUAAUUAGUGUUAUUACACAGGUAGAAUAUUACUACAGUAAUUAGUGUUAUUACACAGGUAGAAUAUUACUAUAGGAAGUGUUAUUAUACAGGUAGAAUAUUACUAUAGGAAGUGUUAUUAUACAGGUAGAAUAUUACUAUAGGAAGUGUUAUUAUACAGGUAGAAUAUUACUAUAGGAAGUGUUAUUAUACAGGUAGAAUAUUACUAUAGGACGUGUUAUUACACAGGUAGAAUAUUACUAUAGGAAGUGUUAUUACACAGGUAGAAUAUUACUAUAGGAAGUGUUAUUAUACAGGUAGAUUAUUACACAGGUAGAAUAUUACUAUAGGAAG
ensembl:lncRNA